UUGGUGUCCGGGAGAGGGCGGGCUGCGGAGUACGAAGAGAGAGCGUCCAGAGGAUCCGGCCUGCCGAUGUAUAAAUUGCCGGAGAGGAGAAACGGCGGCGUGCCCGCUGUCUUUCCCGAUAAGCUCGGUCAUUGCUGGAGCGCGGACGCCUAGGUUUUCGGUACGCGAGGCCUCGCCAAUCGCUUUCCCUCCCUCGUAUCCUUUCUCGGGCGGAUUAAACAAGAUUCAGCGAGGAGAUUAGGCCGAUUCCCCACGGCUCCUACGUUCUUGCGGGCUCUAGAUUCUCGCUAUUCGCUUUGCCGAGUCGCUGGCGCUCUUCUUGCACGCCGACGCGAUUGCAGAGGAGAGAGGAGGAGAUCGAGGUGCGGGAAUGGAGGAUUUCUGUCUGAAACGGGUGUAGCGGUCUUGUUCUGAGGAAGUGGAAAGUGCCAUUCGUAGGAGGAGCUUUCCGGAGGAAUGCAGGUCGAUCUGAUGACGGAAGCUUCCAAACUGUUGAGGAGUGAAUUUGAGAAUGGAAUUUCAUGGUUCCCGGCGUUGAGUGGGUAGAUCUGGGGGGCUUGGGUGCGUUUCUUGGUGGGAAGGCUAAAUUUUGAUGUUUGAUUGAAGAGUUUUCUGAGAUUUCAACAACCAGGGUCUAUUGGCUAACCAGUGCUGCUGCUGUGUUGCAGACGGCAGCCCUGAUUGCUGGCUGCCUGGCGACCGCAAUCACAAGGAAAAAAGAGGAGCAAGACGAGCAGCUGAUUGCUGGUUACAGUGCGAUCUUCAGCGUCCAAAGGUCUAGCCUUCUUUCUCUUGUUUCUUUUCCGCACAAAGUAUUACUGCCACUGUGAACUCGUCAUCAAUGCGAAAGGACGACCUUCUGCGCACUCUCAGAAACCCUGUGCCCCAGAGCUGACACAGCUCCAUUCACAGUCGCCGUUUUCAAGGAAGGAGAUCAGGUGGUUGAGAUAAGAAAGGAGAGGUCGGGAGGUGUUAAGACCGAUCUUGGGCCCAGGAGAGGCACGAGAACGGGAUGACAUUGGAGGGGAAUAACCAAGGCUGCAAGCGGACCAGGGUGGCUGUGGGGCGAAAGGAGCUCCAGGACGACGACGAGGAGGAAGGCGAGAAGAAGGGUGGAGUGACUGCCCUCAUCGCCCCCUGGCAGCACCACCCAUCUUCGAGGAUCUUUCGGGUUUCCGGCGCUUCAGGAGGAAAAGAUCGGCACAGCAAAGUCUACACGGCGAAGGGCCUCCGAGACCGGAGAGUACGCCUCUCCGUAUCUACUGCGAUCCAGUUUUAUGACCUACAGGACCGCCUAGGUUACGAUCAGCCGAGCAAGGCUAUCGAGUGGCUGAUUAAGGCAGCGUCGGCUGCUAUAGAUGAGCUGCCUCCCCUCGACGGUUUCCCCAGGCUGGCUUUUCCUAUGGAGGAAGACGCCAUGAAGACCAAACCAGACGUUAAGUCGAGCUACAACCAUAGCCACCACCAGCAGCAGCAUCCCUCCACCAAAUCCGGGUGCAGCAGUACCUCGGACACCAGCAAAGGCUCUGUCUUGUCACUCUCGCGCUCCGAGAGCCGCAUCAUGGCUAGAGAGCGAGCGCAAGGGCGAGCCGCUAAGGACAGAGAGAAGGACAUAGAUGACAGCGGACGCAUUGAUGUUUCCCCUCAUCAGAACCUGAAUGCUCAGACCUCUUUUACUGAGCUUCUAACAGGCGGUGGCAGCAGCAAUGGGGCCGAUAACAAUGCAACUGCUGCCGCCGUAGGUGGCGAGAAUUCUAGCCAUGCCUGCAUUCACAAGCAAAUCUCAACGGCGGAUUACUUCGGCCAAGCUGCUCUCUUCCCCCAGUCUCAGAAGAGUCACCAGCUGCCAUCAGGGUUUUCCAAUCAACCUCACUUGGGAAACAAUUCUUCUCUGGGAAUGCUUCCUUCUAACAUUGUCUCCACUGGUGACCAUCAAGAGAUGCAGCAUUUCGCUUUCUUGCAGGACCAAUUCUUCCCUGCCUCGGCGGUGGCAGCGACAGGGGACUACAACCUCAACUUUUCAAUUGCCUCCUCUGGUUUUGUGGGUUUCAAUAGGGGGACCCUUCAGUCCAAUUCACCAGCUCAGUUGCCUCAUCAUCACAACCACAGUCACAAUUAUCUGCAGAGGCUUUCGUCUACAGUCGACGGAUCAAACCUCCAGUUCUUUGUUGGCUCUGCCGCAGGUCCGGUUGCUGCUCCUACCAAUGCGGAGAACCAUUUCCCAGAAGGCUUUGACGGUCGUCUGCAGCUCUACUACGGGGAUGGCUAUCGGCAAUCAGACCUGAAAGGGAAAGGGAAGAGCUGAAUGGUCAACAAUUGAGGUCUUUGUGCACUCACGUUGCUGGCAAUUGAAGAAAUUCAGCCGAGCACAUUAGAUACUUGUAACUGACUUGCAGGAAUUAAACCCACAUUUCAAACAUGUAUACACGAGUCAUGACUAAUACAAGAAUCAUGUUUCUGUGACAACCGAAUAAAAGAACCAACAUCAAGUUAGCAUGGCGACUUCGCAUCCGUUCCCGCAGUGGGUUGUUUUCUUCAGCAGCUACUCUGCCACUAUAUGCUGUCUCUAUUUUUAUUAUUAUCGUGCUUCAGAAGCUUGAUUUAUACUUCCGAUGAUUUCAUCCUUGGUAAACCUUGUCGUGUAUGAUAAGCGCUCUCAUACUAUUGCUUGUGUGUGGAUACAGAAACAUCUAAGCAAAUCAAGUCGCUUGGAAGAUUUUGAUGUUUGUACCUUGGUUACUCCCCAUCUUUGGACUGAAACAAGCAUGUUUAAUGUUUUCAAAUUUUGUUCAUCUGGAUUUAAGAUUCUUUGUACUGUUACUGAUCAUCUGUUGAUCGUGAGGUGCACCAUUUGCCUUUUUAGCUACACUUGUUACAGAGUUUCUGCUGUUUGUCUCUGUACGAUAACUUCUCCACUCAUGAUUGAAUGGUUAAGCUCCAUAGACACCUUCUACAAGUUAC